GCCGAACGCUGGCGGCGUGCCUAAUACAUGCAAGUCGAACGGAGUGGCGAACGGGUGAGUAAUGUAUCGGAACGUGCCCAGUAGCGGGGGAUAACUACGCGAAAGCGUAGCUAAUACCGCAUACUAUUGGACCGGCCGAUAUCGGAUGAGGUCGGUGUUGGGGUAACGGCUCACCAAGGCGACGAUCCGUAGCUGGUUUGAGAGGACGACCAGCCACACUGGGACUGAGACACGGCCCAUACUCCUACGGGAGGCAGCAGUGGGGAAUUUUGGACAAUGGGGGAAACCCUGAUCCAGCCAUCCCGCGUGGGCGAUGAAGGCCUUCGGGUUGGAAAGCACUUUUGGCAGGAAAGCGGUACCUGCAGAAUAAGCACCGGCUAACUACGUGCCAGCAGCCGCGGUAAUAC
rnacentral:rRNA from 1 species